AUUGAACGCUGGCGGCAGGCCUAACACAUGCAAGUCGAACGAGUGGCGGACGGGUGAGUAAUGUCUGGGAAACUGCCUGAUGGAGGGGGAUAACUACUGGAAACGGUAGCUAAUACCGCAUACCAUCGGAUGUGCCCAGGUGGGAUUAGCUAGUGGGUGGGGUAACGGCUCACCUAGGCGACGAUCCCUAGCGGGUCUGAGAGGAUGACCAGCCACACUGGAACUGAGACACGGUCCAGACUCCUACGGGAGGCAGCAGUGGGGAAUAUUGCACAAUGGGCGCAAGCCUGAUGCAGCCAUGCCGCGUGUAUGAAGAAGGCCUUCGGGUUGUAAAGUACUUUCGUCGGGGAAGCGGUACCCGAAGAAGAUGCACCGGCUAACUACGUGCCAGCAGCCGCGGUAAUAC
rnacentral:rRNA from 1 species